rnacentral:rRNA from 1 species
CCUACGGGAGGCAGCAGUGAGGAAUAUUGGUCAAUGGACGAGAGUCUGAACCAGCCAAGUAGCGUGAAGGAUGACUGCCCUAUGGGUUGUAAACUUCUUUUAUAUGGGAAUAAAACGUUCCACGUGUGGGAUUUUGUAUGUACCAUAUGAAUAAGGAUCGGCUAACUCCGUGCCAGCAGCCGCGGUAAUACGGAGGAUCCGAGCGUUAUCCGGAUUUAUUGGGUUUAAAGGGAGCGUAGGAGGAUUGUUAAGUCAGUUGUGAAAGUUUGCGGCUCAACCGUAAAAUUGCAGUUGAAACUGGCAGUCUUGAGUACAGUAGAGGUGGGCAGAAUUCGUGGUGUAGCGGUGAAAUGCUUAGAUAUCACGAAGAACUCCGAUUGCGAAGGUAGUUCACUGGACUGCAACUGACACUGAGGCUCGAAAGUGUGGGUAUCAAACAGGAUUAGAUACCCCUGUAGUC